GUGGUGAUUUUCAGGCUUUUCAGACAAAGUGUUUACCUUUUGUGUUUAUUUUAAUUUAUAUUUAAAAUUGCUUGGGAAGGGAAAGCCAGGAAGGAGUAGACAGGCUUUCACCUUAUCCAAGUUAUAAUCUGGACCUGAUUGCUGUUCCACAGCUCCAAUCACCAUGAUUGACUUACCCUGAUUAACAAGGAAACACUGCAGUGGAGUCUGUAUCAUUGCCCUGACUUCAAAACCUCUGCCUGGGUAUGAGCUAUGCCUUUAUGGUACCUGCUCUGAAUAUUUGCAGGCAGGAGAAGCAGCCUGAACUGUUUCCAAGUUGGAAGAGAGAGUCAAGGUGCAUUACAUCAUACUUUAGUAAUUCAACCAACAGGCACUUCUACCAACUCACUGAAAUUCUCUUUUUCUCCUUCUUCUGGAAAGAAAGCAAAUUUCUAUUGUACCAAGUUCUAGUCACAUUUUGUGACUUUUCUGGAUUGCUCAAAUGGCCUGUUGGCCUAAGCGAGCUAGGGAAUAAAAUAUAAUUAAAAAGGUAAAAAUUAAUCACAGCAGUCUAGUCAGAAGAAAGAUGUUUGAUCAAUGUUUUCCCCAACACCCUGCACACAAAUGCUCCAUCAAUAGUUGACUCACUGGUAUAUACAGUAUUUUUGUGGGAAUAUGUAGGUUUGUGUGGACCUUUGUAGUAUUUCAGGAUUCUGUGCAACCAGUGAGUUGCUAUCUAUGUAAACACAUGUUUUGCAGAGAAAAAUCUAUGAUCAUUACUUGUCUUCCAUUCUAUGUGGCCUAGGAUUUCACAAUAAUCAUUAACUCUAUUGGCCAGAACUUCCUUCAAGAAAAUCUUCCUGACUCAAAGUCUUCAGCAAAGGAGAGACUAUGACAAUCCAGUCAAAAGGUUGACUUCCCCUUGCAACACAUGCAACAAGCAAUAUGCAACAUAUAUUUGUUGCAUCUUAUGUUUAAACUAAAUUUGCCUCAACAUUGAUUUCUGGUAAUGAGAUGCAAUGAAGCAGCUGGACUAGGAUUAAGCACAUACUGCUGGUGGGCAGAGGCACAUGCAUUUAUGGUUGCAUGCAAGCCAUAAAUCUGGAAUCUUAGCUCUGCCUACAAAUUCUUUAUGAUGCAGUUCUUAAUUGCUGAAAAUGUGGCAAGCAAUCCUGAAGGUGAAGAAUGUGCCCUACAGAAGCUAGGGAAUUCUUAUGAUAUGAGGGGAGCUGGACCGGACAAACGCAGAUCAAGCCAAUAUGGUUAAAGCUACAUUCUCCGUUUAUUCUCUAAAAUAUGGCAGUUUAUAUACACUACAGUAUAGUUUACAAAUUGUGAACACGCUAUCAUUGGUCAGCAAACAUUAUUUGUCCCUCUCUCAAGGUGGCAAGAGUUUCACGCUGCAGUUCUACACUAAUUCACACCCAGAAAGCCUAUUAACACCGUGGUUACCUUAAAGUAAUUUCUAACUGCGCCACACUAUUUUCUUGCUGCAUCAAAGGCUUCCAGGCCCCACCAAGGCUGCUUAUCUGAGGCUCAGCAGGAGGGUAGCUCAAUCUUUCACUCUAAAUAUAAAUCAUGUCCUGUCUCUCUCAGAAAUCUUAAAACAUCCCACAGACCUGGGAGUAUGGUGUCAGUGACUGAAUAAACCAAGCAUUUGUUCUGCCACAGCAGUGCCAUUAAGGAAGGCUUCCUGGAGAGUCUGAGGCAGUGUAUGUUAAAGGGAGAGGAAGACACUUGCUCCAGCAUCUGCCUGGCAUCAGUCGUUUGUUCAUUUGUUUUGUGCAAUGUAACAUCUGGUCCUUUUCACUUUUUUAAUCAGCAGCUAUUAUAAAUUAAUCCUGGUUUCGUGCUUGAAAUAUAGUGUACUGUAAAAUUAGUAUAUCAUUCCCUAGGAGACUAACAUUCCCUCAGAUUCAGUUUGUCUUAUUUUGUGCAGGAAUGUCUUUGAGGACAAGACAUUUUAACACUGAGUGAUAAGAAAGGAGAGGUAAAGCUAGUACCUGAACACUCCACAGCUAGGAGAGGAAGUGGGGAGUUUGUAAUUAGAUCCAAUCUGGCUUUACAUCUAUUGUAUUGCAUUCACACUUUAUGCAUGAUCAAGGCACUAUUACAUUCAUAUGGGGAAGAAAAAGUCCAACAUCUGAAUCUGGAACAAAACUGUGUUAAGUUCCACUCAACAUCAGGGAUUUGCUUUUAUCAAAGCUGAUGGCUUACCCACUGACAUUGAUAUGAAGUGUAUAGUUUUCGUUGUGUUUUUGUUGUUUUUAGUGUUCUGGCCUCUUCUAUUUUAAGUUGAGGCAGAGUGCUUUCCCAGAUGAGCACAUACAUUAACCAUGUGGAAAAACAAAGCACCGUUUUCACACCCAAACCUUUCUGUAAUUAUUCUGUGCAUUCUAUACGUACCAGGUGAAUCAGUCAGACACACUGAAGCUGUCUGCAGAGGCAGAGGCUUGCUUUGUUUAGUGUCCACCAUAAAAUGAUUCACAUUUUUUGAGAGCUUUUGAAAUCUCUUACAGAGCAUCAGCCGCGGUGACUGAUCCAGAAUUGCUGGGACAUGGCAGUAACACCUCAACUGCUGUUACAGAAUGAGUCACUGAGGCAUAAACCAAAUGAGUGUAGAGGAAAAGAGGACCAUAGUGAUGGAAGAACGAACCACUAUCUCCCUGGACUCAUAAUGUUUAAUUUUGGAAUCCUCUGCAACAAAGACAAGUAGUGGAGACACAGAUAAUCUACUGACAGCAACAGAAAGUUUAUAAAUGCUGAAUAAAACAUGGUUUCCUACGAUUGCUUCACAUCAGAUUUCCCCUCAGGUAUAUCAACAGGAUUAGGAAAUUGUAGCAUCAGCAAGGAUGUUGUCACGUCAGGAGGUCAAGCGAGUUGGGUUUUUACCUCCUUUCCAGUUCAGGUUAAUCUGGAGCUGAAAUUGUUCCUGCUCAGUUUCACUUCAGAUCACUAAUAAUUUGUUAACCUCUUGCACCUGACUCACAACAGUCAGUUGGAGACUGAGUCAGUGGAACAGAGCUUCAGGCAGAGGCCUCUCCUUGCUAAAUAACUAAAGUAAACUUUGAGAGGGUCUAGUUCUAGUUGAAGUUCCACAAGCCUCCAAAACUGCAAUCCAAUUCUGAUUCAAAAGAAAAAUGACAUUUCUAGGUGGCUUUUGGUUGGGUUCAUUUCUCUGGCUGCAUUGCCAGCAAGUAUGGUGUCUUAGUCACCUACGGUAAGAAGUGAUGGGUGCCACAAACACAAAAGUCCUACUGACUCAUUUACUCAAUGUUUCUGGUGAAAUGGGUUUGAUUCCUUGCAUUUGUAAUUCCUUAGUCCAGUUUAUUGUAUUUGAAACAGUCAAUAAAGCUUCUCUUACUUAAAA